GCCUACAACUUUCGAUUUGAGGCUUUGGAGUAGUGAAACAAGACUAUAUAUCUUAUUUAACAUUUAUUUAUAAAUUAAUGACAGUAUUGUAUAAUAGUUUCAACAAGAACAAAAAUAUAACUUAUUCAGACACAAAUAGUAAAUACUUCUGUUCUAAAGCUCUCCCGAGCAAGUUUUCAUGUUAAAGGCAAAAUGAAACACACAAUCAGACAACUUUGACCUAGAAUUGCGUUAGAACUUAUAGGACUGUUGCUUUGUUUUCAGCACGGGACACAUUCCCAUUCUCAUGUUACAAUCAAUUUGACGAAUCACGAUUCCAGCUUAAAGGGAGAUCUUUGCGAGGUGAUAUACUCGUACUCGUAGUAUGUAUAGUGCCAGGCAAAAAUAUAACCACACUUUAAUAAAUAAUUAAGUCUGUCGACAUUAUUUGUUUGGAAAGAUUAAAAGAUUGUGUUUGGGCUUUUGAACAAAAUUAAAACAAUAAACUCAAGACAUAGUGCAAUUAAUCCGGUUGUGUGUGAAUAUAAGACAUUCAGUUCAGAUUCAACUACAGCUGACCACGAUCGCUUUAUUCAAAUUGAUCUUAAUGCUUGUUCGACUUCGGCUUGAGAUAUUUCUGCCUCAAAGCAUGCGGCAAGAAGGGAGUGCGCAGUUGGGUAUCUUUGAGAUUUCCUUCAUGUUCCGGCAAAACCAGGUGUUUGGUUUUUUUAUUUUUAUUUUUAUUAUUUAUAUUGAUCCGGUAGUGUUGUGCGCUUGUAGGAAAAAGGUUUUUCUAUGUGGACUUUUGAUUUUGACUUGCAAAUAAUUUACCGACUCUACUCAUAUACCUCACCACAUACGUUCUGAGCAUAAUAUCUUGAGUAUUUCAAGGUCUCAUUCAAUCCGAUUCUGGAUGGUUAGACAAAAUCUGCAAGUCCAAUUUUUUGUCAUCCUGUUUAUGUGACUUUUCGUGCAGGUUGAAUUUAUGAAAGGUUAUACUUGCAGGCGCACCACUCAGAAGCACGAAAUUUGAAAACACGAUUUGGUUUAAAUAUUAAAAAGAAACAGCCAACUUGGGUUGGUUUGAAGAGUGGAACAUGACACGAUAUAGGCCAUGAAUGGAGAACACAAAUUCGAGCAUAGAAGUAUUUUGAUAAAACUUCUAUAAGAAUAUUAUGCUUGAGUAACUUUACUUAUCUUAUUGAAAGUGGUUAUAAUUACCUACUGCAUAAUAAUUUCAUACAAACAAAAAUCAAACAAUUCACAGGUGUUUUUCAAUAGAAAAAUUAAAAUAAACAAAAUUUUUAGAAGUAUAGGUACUUAAUUAUAAAUGAUAAGGCUGUUAAGUAAAAUUUCGUGUAUAAUAUACAUACAUUGUUUAUGCCUUUUGAAAGCUUUAAUAGAUCAUAUUAAAUAAAGUGGUUUGAAUAGUAGGCAUUAUACUUUAUCAAGGAAGUGGUAUUCAAGAAAAAAAGAUUUAUUUAGAUUUAGAACAUUGUUUGAAUGUUAAAAAUUGUAGAAUGUAAGAUACCUAGUAUUUUUCCGGUAUAAGGGUAGAAUUAGCUGUCGGCGAAAAAUCCACACAAAUAGACCAAUCAAUCAUCAAUUUUAUUGUUAUUUUUAAUUAUAUUCCCUGCUCUCUGACUUCCUUCCUCACUAUUAAAUCGCCUACCAUACCUUAUGAUAUAAACUGUCUUUGAUAAUUUGAAAUGCAUAAAUAAAAAGUGAAAGUUAUGUCAGAACACCGAAUAAGUUAAGCAAUUUUUACACGAAUAAAGAUAAUUUUUUGUUAUGCUCCUAAAAAAUAUACAAAAAUACAAAACAUAUUAUACCCACUUAAUCUUUAUUUUAAAAUUAUUCAGUUAGCAACAAUAAAAUUGGAGAGGGCAAUAAAACUGACAGAUGUAGAGUAUAGGUAAGGUAGGAACCUUACUCUGUUGCUUGGUAUUUUUUACCAAUAAGCUAAUCAAAACUGGAAAGCUACUACUGUUUCAUGGUGGCAAGUGGCAAUUGGCAGGCAGCUUUUAGUUUUUAUUGUUUGCUAUUAAAGUUACGCACGUUUGUAAUAAUGAAUCUGACAAAUGCUUUCGAUUUUUUCAUUGUUAUAUUUGGUAAGCGUUCAAUUUGCAAAACUAUUAUGUAAAACAUAAAGGAAAGUAUAUACAAAGUAAUUAUUGACAUUUCCUGGUUGAAUAAAACGUAUUUAAAUUGUAUCUAUAGACAAAACCAUGUCCUUGAUUUAUUGUUUUUAUUUUGCUAUAACAAAUUAUAUCCACUAUUAUCCCUUUUAGCUUCAAUACAGCCGGGUUGUCAAAGAAACUAUCCUAUAUGUGGUCAUGUGAAGCUGAGGUUUUUAUUGAAUAAUAAAAAGUAUACAUUACCGACUAGCAAUAUUUCAGUUAUUUCUUUUUACAAUUUCUUAGCCUGUCAACUCAACUCUGUUAAUUGACAUAUCUUUAGGUCUUGUUUUAUUUGCUGGCUUGAAUGACAUAGGCUUACAAUUGGCUCGCCAAAAAAGAAUUAAAAAGUUCGAUGUGACUUGCAACUCUCUAACUUUGCUGUCUGCCGAAUUUGAACGGCUCAUUUAAGGAAACUCUUUUAAUGACAAUGGUUGCUCUUAAGGGAUUUGCCAAUUUUUUGCGAAGUGAAACAGAAUUUUGACAUGACAAUCACACUCACUAAUCUUGAUGCCACAGUGUGUUUUUCAAAAUUCAGUAACCCGUUGUGACCGAGAUAACCCGACUUUACCCCAAUGGAUUUUUUGUAUGGGGCUACAAGAGCAACAAGCCCCAAACUCUACUGAACCUAAAAGAAAACAUUCGUCGAGAAAUCAUCGCAAUUGAAUCAAGCUUACUUUAACUUGUGGCGCGUAAAUUUGAAAAUAUAAAUCUGGCGUCAGAUGUCCUGUAAAGCUAUAUUAUAUUAAUUUAUUGUUUUAGUUUUUUUUAUACAAUUAUUUAUUUAUAUAGACCAAUAAUUUAAUAGUUUAAUACCAAAGAAUGUAUUUUGAUUUUCUCUCAGUGUAUCCUAGAUAUUAAGACCUAAGAGAACAUUUACCAUGUGUUUUUUGCUUUGUAUAUUUAGUCUUUAGCUCUUUCUGAUUGUUUUUAAUUAAAUAGUAUGAAUACAUUUACUUCAUACGGCAAACCUUAGUAACUAAACCAAAGCACCCACGAAUUCCACACUUGCAUUUUGCACAUAAAAAUACAUAUAACUAUUUAUUGUUAUGAAUAAGAUUGGUCAAUUAACUUUAUUUCCUUUACAUCAUACAUUAUAGAGCAGUUUAGUAUUCAAAUCAAUCAUCUAAACUUUAUACAAAACAAAAUGACACACUGUGAACCUAGCCCAUAUAAUACAAAAGCUUAGCUUUUACUCUUUUGUAUUGUGUAACUAAAUCCCAAGCAAUGCACUAAUGAUCUCCAAUCAAUUUUGCAAAUGGCCAUAAAGCCAUACGAUGUUUUAUUCAAUCGGAUCACGUUUGGCUCUACAUAUUAACUAUAUUCGUUUCUUCUGAAAAUAUAAAUGCUUGAGCUUGAACAAUUGAUCAUUAAAAUAUUAACUGGACCAAACACAUUUGGUGUUUUGCAGAAUUGAUUUGAGAUAUGAAUGAAUGGUAAAGCUCCAAUCUAAUGCCGCGACGGUUAAGUGAUUAAAAUUGCGUUUCGCUUUCGAUGUAUGUUUAAUUGACAAUUUCAUUGAUAUUCUGUGCCUAAUAGUGCUUUAUACACAAAUUGUUCUUUUUAUGCUUUGGAUUCUUUCACUUUUUCCAAUAAAGCCUUGAUAUCUUAUAGGCAACAUUACUUUGAAAUCGCAAAAGUGGAAUGUUUCUUUUUUGUAUUGAAUACCUUAAGCGGAAAUGCAGAAGAUUGUUAUAAAAAAGGUAAUGUUCUGACAGAAGUGAAAAAUGUAUCAGAUGCCGAUUUUUGAUGGAAAAAAUCAAAGGAUUGAAAAAUUAAUGUUAUUUACCUAAAAGGAACAAUACCACACGUAUUCUAUUCAAUUAUUUGACAGUAUUUAGGUAGGCAUCUAUUUUUGUAAUAUACUUAAAAAAAAAAGGUUCUAGACUAAAGUCGCUUACAUAUGUAGCUUAGUUUAUCUCAAUCAAAGAAACUGUACUUCCACUUCAGAAUUAAGAAAUUUAUAAAUCUAUCUUCUUAGCAACACGAUGAAAAUAGCUUUAAAGAUAAAAAUACAAUUAAAUGUUAAAUGUGGAAGUUUCAAUAAAAUUCGAAAAUGUUUUUAGCUUAUAAUCGAUAAAUCUUAUAAUAAUAACCUAUUAUCUCAAUAAAUAAAGUGCGUAUCCUUUUGUGAUUUUU